GACAGAGGGUGCGAACGUUGUUCGGAAUUACUGGGCGUAAAGCGCAUGUAGGCCGUCGCGCAAGUCGGGUGUGAAAGCCCAGGGCUCAACCCUGGAAGUGCACUCGAAACUGCGUGACUAGAAUCUCGGAGAGGGUAGCGGAAUUCUGGGUGUAGAGGUGAAAUUCGUAGAUAUCCAGAGGAACACCGGUGGCGAAGGCGGCUACCUGGACGAGUAUUGACGCUGAGAUGCGAAAGCGUGGGGAGCAAACAGG
rnacentral:misc_RNA from 1 species